GCUCGCAAUCAAAUGAGACAAUUAUUAUAAGGAUGAUAAUUAUACUGAGUAUAGAUAGUUGUGUGCCAUAUUAGUUGGUUGUCCUCUUAAUCAAAAUAUGUGGUGACAUGGGUAUAGCGUAUGGAUGAUACGUAGGAGUAUAUUUCACUGAGUGUAACCACCUUCGGAGUACUCUGCUGUCAAGGGUUACUCUGAUGAGAUAUGGGUAUAUGUGUCUCUCUGAUCUAAGGCUGCCUCGGUGACUUACAAGCAACUCACAUGCUUUGGUGCCCGACUAUCCGAAUUUCUAAGUUGGUGAUGAAAGAUUUCUGGAGAUAGUCAACUACUUAUGAAAUCUGAGUGCGAGUCAAGAUGGGAUUGAUCGUUCCAAGUAAAAUUGAGAAUGAUGCAUCACUGUAUUUCAAUUUAAUAAAACUUUAGCCUAAGUAGUCCUAGUGAGGAGUCAUGAGAUUUUUGAGGUUGAGACACAAUGUGAACCAC
rnacentral:lncRNA from 1 species